UACGAGUGCCUCAAGCGUUAUCCGGAAUCAUUGGGCGUAAAGGUUGUGUAGGUGGUUUUAUUAGUCUUUUGUUAAAUUCUUCGGCUUAACCGGGGGCAUGCAAAGGAAACGGUAAAACUUGAGGAUGCGAGGGGUCUGUGGAACUCAUAGUGUAGCGGUAAAAUGCGUAGAUAUCGGGAGGAACACCUGAGGCGAAGGCGGGCUACUGGGCCGAUACUGACGCUGAUGUGCGAAAGCCAGGGGAGCGAACGGG
rnacentral:rRNA from 1 species